rnacentral:rRNA from 1 species
UACGUAGGUGGCAAGCGUUGUCCGGAUUUACUGGGCGUAAAGAGCGCGCAGGCGGUCGUACAAGUCGCGUGUGAAAGCCCCCGGCUCAACUGGGGAGGGUCACGCGAUACUGUUCGACUCGAAGGCAGGAGAGGGAAGCGGAAUUCCCGGUGUAGUGGUGAAAUGCGUAGAUAUCUGGAGGAACACCGGUGGCGAAGGCGGCAUUCUGGACCAUAACUGACACUGAGAGACGAAAGCCAGGGGAGCAAACGGG